CCGAGUUUACAACUCCCAAACCCCUGUGAACAUACCUUUAUGUUGCCUCGGCGGAUCAGCCCGCGCCCCGUAAAACGGGACGGCCCGCCGCAGGAAACCCUAAACUCUGUUUUUAGUGGAACUUCUGAGUAUAAAAAACAAAUAAAUUA
rnacentral:misc_RNA from 1 species